rnacentral:rRNA from 1 species
UACGUAGGUGGCAAGCGUUGUCCGGAAUUAUUGGGCGUAAAGCGCGCGCAGGCGGUCCUUUAAGUCUGAUGUGAAAGCCCACGGCUCAACCGUGGAGGGUCAUUGGAAACUGGGGGACUUGAGUGCAGAAGAGGAAAGCGGAAUUCCACGUGUAGCGGUGAAAUGCGUAGAGAUGUGGAGGAACACCAGUGGCGAAGGCGGCGAUCUGGGUGGAUACUGACGCUGAGGUGCGAAAGCGUGGGGAGCAAACAGG